GGGAGGUAGCUCAGUGGUACAGUGCUAGAGCACUUGGCUAAUAUGCAGGAGGCCCUGGGCUCAAUCCCCAGUACUGCCA
rnacentral:tRNA from 1 species